UAUUUUCAAACAAUCAAAACCCUUGGCUAAGACAUUCCUCAAAGAAAAUGAAUGGAUUCGGCCAUGGGAAGAGCCUUGAGUUGGCUGGAAGAAGAAGGAGGGGGAAAAGCUCUAUGAAGUGUGAGAAAACUUCAAUUGUUCCUCCCAAAUGGACAACUUCACUCAGGUUGAACGGUCCCAUGAUGAGCGGCUGAGUCAGAACCAGAACUCAGAACUUGUGAUCCGGAGACUGGACUGUGCCCACAUCACACUGCCUUUAAAAUUAAACACACUCACACACUUCCUUAAUGACAGACCAAAGAUGGUUCUGGUUGCUGGGUUUGCUUUUUGACACAAGUCUUCCAAGACGAGCCGUCUCCGUAGCACCUUGCUGGUGAAUCAAAGGCGUGCUUUUCUUACAGUCUGCCUUUCAGAACCAGUUUGGAUCAACCACAUGAGUUUCAGAGACAAGCUUCCCAAACGCCAGGUGGGGGCAGAAAAGCCCCCUUUGCAGGCACUCUGUGCCCCGAUUGUGUCGCUGUCACAGGUCUGUCCGAGAUCCCCAGCCCUGCCUACGGCUCUCAGGGCGCCAAUUACAAAGAGCUGUGGCCAGGUAAAGAGCAGGAGGGCUGAGAGGCCAUGGCGCGAGGAGCCAGGUGCACCCCAGAAGUGGGCGCCUCCUCUUCCUUAUAAUGUAGCUGCUCAGACAACCACAACCAUAUCGGUGUAAACGUCACACAACUGUAGCUUAAGUAGGCGGGGCAAACAGGUUGUUUUUUUACAGUUGCAAAGCUUUUACAUUUAUGUGAAAUGAUACAAUGUUAACUCUAAAGAGACAGAGACAAGUGAAGGAUGUACACUGUUACCCCUAAAGCAACCACAGGGGAAAAAAGCAAAACAGACAUAGCUCCAGAAGACAAUAGAUAAGUUAAAAUGGAAUUCUAAAAAUCAACUCAAAAAUAAGACAAUCAGAAGACAAAUAGCAAAAGGACAGAUUUCCUGUCCUAUCAAUAAUUACAGUCAAUGUAGAGAGUAAGACUCUCCGAAGAAAGGCAGAGAUACUCAGAGUGAAUGUAAAAAAGGGAGACCCAGUGAUAUGCUGUCUACAAGCGACGCACUUUUAAUGUAGAUGCACAGAGGGGUGUGGGUAGAGCUCAGUGGUAGAGCACGUGCCCUUAGCAUGCACGGGGGUCCUGGGUCCAAUCCCCAGCAUCUCCAUUAAAUAAACAAAAUAAAUAAAGGAGAUCAAUCAAGUUGGGACCAGAGUUUGUUUUUUAAAAAAAUGUAAAUACACAGAUAAGCUGAAAGCAAAAGGAUGGGGGAAGGCACACCAUUUGUCACUAUAUUAACAUCAGAUCUAAGACACGUGAAGACAAGGUAUCACUGGAAAUAAAGAGGGACAUUUCAUAAUAAUGAAAGUGUCAAUUUAUCACGAGGUCCUAACAGUCAUAAAAGUGUAUGAGCUUAACAAAAGAGCUCUGAAGUAUGUGCAGCAAGACUCGGCAGACAGCAGGGAGAGGCGGACUGGUGCGUGUCCGCACACAGGCACCGGGCUCCGUGUCAGCAGCCCCUGGGCAUGUUCUGUACCCGUCGCCCAUGGAUCAAGAGAAAAUCCCUUCCCACUCUUGUGAUCAGGGAUCCCAGCCAAUCAGAAGGAAGCUGUCUGCUCCCCACCCCUCGCUACUGUUACAGGAAGUAGAAACUUGCAGGUGGGUUUGUGGUGCUAAGUCUGGUUGUGAAAGGCUUACUGGGUUCAGCUGCUGGCGGGUCAAGCAGGUAGGCUGACACCUACUGCCCCCGCACGGCAGUGG